UAAUGCAUCUUAGAGAAUGCUCCACGUAGGUUCAUAGGAGCUGCCUCAUUCAUUUUAAAGGCAGUAUAAUAUUCAGUUGUAUGGAUUGUAUCAUAAUUUAUUUAACCAGUCUGAUGUUGAAGGAUAUUUAGUUUGUUUCCAGUCUUUUGAAUUUUUCACAAUGCCUCAAUGAAUAUUCGUAUACAUAUGUCAUUUCAUACAUGGGCAAGCAUACCAGUAGGAUGAUCUUCUGGAAUUGCAAUUGCUAGAUUAAAGACUACACAUUUUAAAUAUUAUGGUUUAUUGCCUCUAUAAAGGUCACAUGCAUUGCAAGCGCAUAGAAAGAGAAUGUCAGUUUCUUCACAUGCAUGCCAACAAUCUGUUAGUAAGCUUUGUCAAGUUGGCCAACCUGAUAGGUAAAAAUGAUAUCCUAUCAAAUCGUUUUGUAUGUUUAAAAUCCACUUUGCUCCAGUUACUGUUAACUAUUUUAUCUUGUCCAUGUUUUCCUAUUGGACUGCUGAUCUUAUUGAUUUAUAGAAGCUCUUUAUAUAUUAAGGGAAUUAAACUUUUAUCUGGGAUAUAUGUUGCACAUGUUUCCCUCAGUUAUUUUUCUCAUGACUCUUUUUCAUAAAGAAAACUUAUUUUUUGUUGGUAUACUCAGUCUUUUCUAUCAUAGUAUCUGGGUUUGUAUCACACUUUAAAAAUGUCUUUCCCACUCCAAGAAUAAAUUUUACUUUAUACACUUUAACCUUUUUUUUCAUCAGUAAUUUAUUUUGGUGUACGGAGUAUGACUGAGAUUAAACUUCCUUUUUUCCUGUUAGAGAUGCAGAUUAUCCCAACAUUGUUUAUUGAAUACUACAUCCUUUGUUUUACUGACUUGAAAUGUCGUACUGACCAUGUUUGAUAUUUUCCCUUGUAUUUGCGUAUGUUCUGGGAUCUGAAAUCUGUUGCAUCGAUAGGUUCUCUAAAGGUAAAAUGUAGACUGAAGGAGGAGUGGUCAGGGAAGGUCUAUUUGAGAAGGUGAUGCUUCAGCUCAGGCUGGCAAGGCCUUUCAGAUGGAGAGAAUUGCAGCAUGUGCAAAGGUGAAGACUUGGUUGCAUUAGAGGAACUGAAAGCCUGGUGCGCUGGCCCCUAAGUCAGGGAGCAAGUGGUACGAGAUGAGGCUGGAGAGAUGGGGAGGGGCUUGAUUAGUCCCCGUGGGCCAUGUUGAAGGGUUUGCAUUUAUUCCACACAAUCAGGAGCAGUUGAAGGGUGUUAAGCAGAGGAGAGACACAGUCCAUUUUACAUAGUUUUUUGUGGGGGGCGCUGUGCUGGGUCUUUAUUGCUGCAUGGACUUUUCUCUAGUUGCAGUGAGCGGAGGCUACUCUCUAGUUGUGGUGCUUGGGCUUCUUGCGGUGGCUUCUCUUAUUGUGGACCAUGGACUCCAGGGUGCGAGGGCUUCAGUAGUUGUAGCACGUGGGCUCAGUAGUCGCAGCUUCUGGGCUCUAGAGUGUGGGCUCAGGAAUUGAGACUCACAGACUCAUUGCCUCACAGCACAUGAAUCUUGCCAGACCAGGGCUGGAACCCAUGUGCCUUACGCUGGCAGGUGAAUACCUUACCACUGAGCCAGCAGGAAAGCCGCUACAUAGUCAUUUUAGAGGGAAGUCCGGGAUUCCGUGGCAUCCCCAGUGGGUGUAUCUGAGGAAAAGCUAGGCCCUGCUCCAGAUUUCCAGGGUGGUUGAGAGUCAUAGCCCAGGUCACAGAGAUUGCUCAUAUCAUGCUUAGUGAUGGACGGCAUUAACCACAACUAGCCCUGCUCCUUCCGCUCCGUGCCUGCCUCCUGUUCUGCUGACACCUCCUCCUGUUGUCUCCCUGAGGCCUGUGGAUGGUCACGGUUGCCCUGUAUGUGCAGCACCAGCUCUGGUGAAGGACCAAACCCCCAACUAGAGCCAGUGAGGGGCAAUGAGAUUUGGGGGGAUUUCUGAGAAAGAGGCUCCCCCCGUCCAUUGUGAAGUUG